rnacentral:lncRNA from 1 species
GCAAAGUGGACGUUGAAACACUCUGGUGGUUCUUAAAGGGCUUCUUUAGGAGGCAAGAGGGAUUUGGCCCAGGAGACUUGUUUGGUUAAAGGGCUAAAAUGCUCCAAAGGCCCCGCAGCUGUUAGCACCUGCCUGCAAGUCACCCUGGAUCUUUGGUCCCUCCUCCUGGUGAAUGUUAUACUGGUGGGAAAAACCACACUCCACAUGGUUUCUGGCCCCUUGAUGCUGCUGAAACAACCCAAGUAGCAGCCUAACAUUUUGUUUCAUGUUCUACUUGAG